UCUAUCGGUAAGGACGUGAAAUACGAAAUAACAAGGGAGAGACUUUGAACUUGUUUAUCCUAACUGAAAAGGGUAAGUUGAAUAGUUAAUUGAAACAUCUUACUAAACUAUGAGGAAUACAUCAACUGAGAUUCCGUGCGUAGCGGCGAGCGAUAGCGGAGAAAUUGUCUUAAACAGAUAAUUAAGAUGAUUGGACAUCUAGACUAAACCCCGAUAGACACCUAUAGAGAAAGUACCGUGAGGGAAAGACUCAGAAUUGGUUCUAAAAGUUACCUUUUGCAUAAUGGGCCUGCAAGACAAGAUUUGGCAAGCUUAAGUAGUAAAUGAAGGCGUAGUGAUAGCAAGACAAACUCGUUAGUCAAAUUUUCCCGAAACCAAGUGAUCUAACCAUGGCCAGGUAGCUAUGCUGACCGAACCAGUGAUUGUGGCAAAAAUCUUGGAUGAGCUGUGGUUAGCGGUGAAAUACUAGUCGAACUUGGAUAUAGCUGGUUCUCUACGAAACUUAUCUUAGUAAGGCGCCCCAAGCUGAUUCGCCCCCAAACCCCGGGGGUUUGAAUUACUGGUGUAGUAAGACUAUGGCGAUAAGGCCCCUAGUCAAGAGGGGGAAGCCCCAACCAGAAAUUAAAGUCACUAAUACAGAUUAAGUGUAUAAAGAGGGCUCAACUUAGACAAACAGAAAGUAGGCUUGGAAACAGCCAUCUGCACAGGAAAACGUAAAAGUUCACUGAAUGAGCCAGGGACCUCUAAUAAUUAAGGCGGCUAAAUCUGUAACUGAAAUUCUGGAAGCCAGACCGUAAGGAAGCAUCAACUGGCUUGUUAGUAGAGCGUUCUGUAGGCACGAUAUGUGCGCACCUUGUAAGAUAAACAGAAGUGAUAAUGCAGGCAUGAGUAGUACAAGAUUAACUCCCAAAUAAAUAUAUAUAUAUGUAUACAGCUUCUAAGGACAUUAUGCCCGAUGAAUUAUAAUUUUUAUACCUGUUCAGGAAAAAUAUUAUGGUACUUCGUACCUUCAACUGUUAUUUAUGGGAUUUAUAUCUAGGCAUAAUUUCUCUUAAGGAACUCGGCAAAAUAAGAUCUCGACUGUUUACCAAAAACAUAGCUCUCUGCUAAAGGCUACUUAAGUAUAGGGGGUGAAUUCUGCCCAAUGGUUGUACAGUGAAACUAAGUACUAACGUAUAAAGCGAAACCCAACUGAAUGGCCGCGGUAACUCUGACCGUGAUAAUGUAGCACAAUAAAUAGCCAAUUAAUUGUUGGCGGGUAUGAAUGGAACCACGAGGGUUUUACUGUCUCAAGAGGAAAGCCGAUGAAAUUAUAGUUGUAGUGAAGAUACUACAUAGACAUUGUAAGACGAAAAGACCCUAUCGAGCUUUACUGGAUACCGAUAGCGUUAACUCAAAAUGAUCGAUACUAAGUAUUCUAAUUUUGAGUUAAUAAUUUUUGUUGGUGGGACAGUUUAGUUGGGGCGACUGCCUUUGAAUAAGAAACGAAGGCGAGCUUAUGGUAUACAAAGCUAAUCUCAUUAGCCUGACAGUGAGGGGGACACCCCUAGCUGGCACAAGGACUACAUCCUAUGUGGGCGAUAAUGACCCGAUAUAAUUGUCCAAAAUAAAUAUCGAAAGCGAAUAAAAGCUACCGUAGGGAUAACAGCGUAAUAUUGUCGGAGAGUUCUUAUCGAGGACAGUGUUUGCGACCUCGAUGUUGAAUUGCGGUGCCCUGGUGCUGUAGAAGGUACCCUAGGUUGGUCUGUUCGACCAUGAAAACCGUACAUGAUUUGAGUUCAGAGCGUGGUGACACAGCUCGGUUUCUAUCUACAAUGUUCAAUCCCAACUUUUUUGAGUCCUAGUACGCAAGGAAUGGUCUCAGCGAUGCUCGACUAUAUUGGCCCCAUCGAUGUAAUUAACUUCUGGCUGCUGCAAAGAAGGAGAACAAAAGGUUUAGGGAUUAAUAAGAUCACCUUCUUAUAUGCCAUGUGGGUGCAUAGCCCCUGGCAUACUAUGGAAUUAACACUAGGGCUCAUCAUACUAAUAGUGUUGACGUAUGGAUUAAAGGCCCCUACUUUAAGAUUAGCUAUGCUACUUGCGGGGGCUGCUGGGCUAUUAGCUGUGCCCCACCUACUAUGUUGGACACAGGCGAUUAAGAUGUUGGUGAUGCUUAGUGGGUUAGCUAUACU
rnacentral:rRNA from 1 species